rnacentral:rRNA from 1 species
UGGCGGACGGGUGAGUAACGCGUGGGAAUCUACCCAGUAGUGGGGGACAACUACCGGAAACGGUAGCUAAUACCGCAUACGCCCUAUGGGGGAAAGGCUUCGGCCGCUAUUGGAUGAGCCCGCGUCAGAUUAGCUAGUUGGUAGGGUAAAGGCCUACCAAGGCAACGAUCUGUAGCUGGUCUGAGAGGACGAACAGCCACACCGGGACUGAGACACGGCCCAGACUCCUACGGGAGGCAGCAGUGGGGAAUAUUGGACAAUGGGCGAAAGCCUGAUCCAGCAAUGCCGCGUGUGUGAAGAAGGCCUGCGGGUUGUAAAGCACUUUCAGUUGGGAAGAUGAUGACGUUACCAACAGAAGAAGCACCGGCUAAAUCCGUGCCAGCAGCCGCGGUAAUACGGAUGGUGCGAGCGUUAAUCGGAAUUACUGGGCGUAAAGCGCGCGUAGGCGGCUAAGUCAGUCAGAAGUGAAAGCCCCGGGCUCAACCUGGGAAUUGCUUUUGAUACUGCUUAGCUAGAGUUUGGUAGAGGAUAGUGGAAUUCCAGGUGUAGCGGUGAAAUGCGUAGAUAUCUGGAGGAACAUCAGUGGCGAAGGCGACUGUCUGGACCAAAACUGACGCUGAGGUGCGAAAGCGUGGGUAGCAAACAGGAUUAGAUACCCUGGUAG